UGGGGAAUAUUGGACAAUGGGGGGAACCCUGAUCCAGCCAUGCCGCGUGUGUGAAGAAGGCCUCUUGGUUGUAAAGCACUUUAAGCGAGGAGGAGGCUACUCUAGUUAAUACCUAGAGAUAGUGGACGUUACUCGCAGAAUAAGCACCGGCUAACUCUGAGCCAGCAGCCGCGGUAAUACAGAGGGUGCGAGCGUUAAUCGGAUUUACUGGGCGUAAAGCGUGCGUAGGUGGCCAAUUAUGUCAAAUGUGAAAUCCCCGGGCUUAACUUGGGAAUUGCAUUCGAUACUGGUUGGCUAGAGUAUGGGAGAGGAUGGUAGAAUUCCAGAUGUAGCGGUGAAAUGCGUAGAGAUCUGGAGGAAUACCGGUGGCGAAGGCGGCCCCCUGGACAAAGACUGACGCUCAGGUGCGAAAGCGUGGGGAGCAAACA
rnacentral:rRNA from 1 species